UCAGCGACUAAGCUCUCACUAAGACCUUUUGAUCUUACCCUGACCGUUUGACAGCAACCAGUUUGGGGAUUCUUGGAGGAACCUUCCAGUGAUCGUAUCUUCUUGGUCUUUCCUGUGUAUGAUUCAGCACACUCAGACCAGUUGUGAGGUAACAGCCUCUUUAAUACUCUAGGAGAGACAACACUAGGCUCGCGGAGAAGUAUGCCUUUCAUUUGAGGCUGCAGCUUCCGAUGUAGGUCUGGUCCAGUGAGUGUGGAUGACUUCGCAGAACCUGAUAUCUGAAAAAAAUGAUUACAAAACAGUUUAGUCAGCUCAUAAGCAAAUUAGUUAUAGAUUAUUUCAAACAAAGAAUGAAUAACGUUACCUUUCCAAUUGCAAGCCAUCUCUCAUCUUGCCACGACUGACGAACCCUGACGUUUGCCUUGUGAAAAGUAAACUCUGCAGGAGUCCCAAGCAACCGAACCACAUAGUACUUUCCAGAUAACUCUUCACGAACAGUGGCAGCUUUCCAGGAGAAAUCAUCAAGAACUUCCACCAGUUCACCACUCUUCCAUCGCUCUACAUCCACUUGCGGAGGACACGGCCUAAUCAUCUUCCUUGGAGCUCUCUCCACCACUGCAUCCUCGUGGAAAGAGUAGUAUCUAACACUGUAGGUAUGUCCAUUACCUGAGAUUAUCUCAGCGCAUCGCCACGCACCAUAAGGCGCCUCUUUGCUGCUAAAUACCUCAACUCUACUUCCUUUUCUGAAUCUCAUGGUAACCAAGUCCACUUAACACCUGAAAAAGUAAAAAAAAAAUCCCUAUAUUAUAACGCUACUUUAAAAUCAUACCAUUCGACACAUUCUUAAACAGUUACUACUAUCCUGACUAAAGCUCAGUAACACAGAUAUCAAACAAAGGUUCCUAAUAAACUCCGUCUGAAACGUAUUUGCUUAAUAUAAUAAUCCGAAUCAAAAUAAGUUGAAUCAAUUUGUAAACAGAAAUAAAGAAACAAACAUAAUCGAGAUCAUUCACAUGAAAAAGAAAAAAAAAAAAAAAACAAAUCAAGAUCAAUUCAAACUUAAUUCUUCAGAUAGCAGAAGAUCAUACAUACAUUGUUUAGAAUGUUGAAAAAAACACAGCCUUAAUAGUUAUCAUCCUGAUCAAAGCUCAGUAACAAAGAUUUCAACAAAGGUUCCAAAUAAACUCGUCUUAAAACGUGUUUGCUUGAUUUAAGAAUCUGAAAUCAAAUUAAGAUGAAUCAGUAUAAUCAUCCGUAAAACAGAAUCAAAGAAACCAGCAUAACCGAGAUCAAUCACAUGAAAUACAAAACGAAUCAAAGAUCAAUUCAAGCUCAGCUCCAAAUAAACUAGCGAAGAAGAAUCUCGAUCAAAGGGAUGAACAGUAACAUGGAAACAACAGAAGAUAAGAAAAAAUCGAGCAAGAGAUCAUCACCUUCUGGAAUGUUUGGAUGAGAUAAUCGCCGGGAAUUUUCGAAAUUCGUCUCUUGAUUUUUCUUAAAUGACUGAUUGAAAUAUUGGAAGAGGAAUUGGGGAUUAGGGUUUCAAGUAAUGUAGAUAUGCAAAGAAGAUUGGGCGUUACGAAAUUUAUAUUUAUUUUGGUUUUUGUUUUUGUGACGUGGGUUUUAAGUUUAUUUCUGUAAACCAGAAAUAGGUGACAACCCAUACAUUAAUUACGUUUCACUCGCUUCAUUAGUGCGUGCUCACGCGCGUUAAUUGUGUUCUUGAGUUUUUCGAUACGCGUUUAAAGGCAGCUUCAAUAUAGAUCAUUAAGUGGUUUAAUAAAAUCAACUUACAAUAUGUGGUUUAAUAAAAAAAUUAUUUUGCACAAAUUGAUAUGUAUGGUGUACACUCAAGCCUAUCUGGUUUUGCUUAUGUAAUAUAUUCAAGCCUUAUACCCUCGAGAAUUUUGAAAAAAAUUAUAUAAAUAGGUUACAAAAUUUGUAAAAAUUUUUUUUUUAGACCACCAAAUUAUAAAAUCUUUACUAAAUCGUCUAAAGACCCUAAUAUCUCAGGGCCGGCCCUAAAUAUAUUUAGUGAAUUUUAAAAUGGGUCAAUGCAAAAUUUACGUGAAAAACGUAUAAUACCAAAGUUAACACUAUAUACUACUCCCUCCGUUCCUUAAUGAUAGACUUUUUAAAAAAAAAAUUGUUUCAAAAAGAUGUAUUUUUUGUGUUUUCUAUGAUAAAAUUGUAAACUUCAAGAAAAUUAAUUCACUUUAUUGAAUUACUAUUGGUUAAAAGUUAUUGAAAAUUAAAAAUUACAGAAAACAAUACAUUUAUUAUGGUAGUUUAAUGUGUUUUAUUAAUAUGUGUGAAAAUACUAAAAAGUCUAUCAUUUAGGAACAGAGGGAGUAUUAAAUACUGGGAUGAUGAUUUCCACACUGUAAUGUGAUUUUCACACUGUAAUAUUCUAUUAAAAUUUUACCAGAAAAACGUAUAAUACCAAAAUUUACAUGAGAUAUCAUUGAUGGCCUUGUGGUUUUAAUGAGAUUCUCACACACGAUUGUCAGAGGUCGCGAGUUCGACUCUCUGACAGCGAGACGGUACUGAAAUCUCUCCAAAAAAAUCUUGUAGCAGAUGGCUCACGGGUUUCUACGGUGCUAAUGGGAUUUUUCUGGAUGCGGGGCUUUUCGGGGUGGGAUUAGUCACUAUAAAAACAAUUACCCUCAACAGCUUAUGAAUAGCUUUCAGACCCAAAACGAGACGUAAAGUCAGAGAGAGGUGAGAGAAAACACUCUCAAGCCCCUCUCCACCCCAAACCCUUUUUCUCUUGGCGCCGCUUCUCUAUUUUCAUCUCUGGUGACAGUCGGUCGCCAACCCAAAUUGCUCCAUCUGUCCAUCCUCAAUCUUGUUGUGCCCCGAUUUACCCACCUCCUCGUUGCUUUUCAACUCUAGUUCUUUGCUCGGAUUGCGGCUGGAUCCGGUGAACCAAAAAGGUCGAUGGGUGUGUACUCGUCUUCCCCAGAGUGAUGGCGAGGUGGUGGAUGGUCAUAGCGCAGCAGGAGGCUUCGAUUUGAAGGUAGAUUUAGGGUUUGGACUUCGAUUAGAUCUGGGUCAGAUCUCUCUUGGAGGCUCGCCGGUGCUGCAGGGUGUUGUUGCCUCUGCCUUUCCGGUUUGUUCCGCCUCCUCGAUCUCCCCUUGUCUCUGUCUUCGGUUGCUUAGCUAGAACUUCUCCAUUUUGACCUUCGGGUCCGAGAUGAAGCGAUGUUGAGGGCUUCGCUGGGGACUUCUCCUUUGUUCUGAUUUCGCAACAGCCACCAUGGCAUUUUUGAAGGGUUCAAUAGAAAGACGGAGAUCAGUUAACGACGUUUCUUGUUCCCAACUUAGUGGACCAGAAGCGAACAAGUUCCCCAAAGUACUGCGGUAAGUAUAUAGUUCAGACCUACAGGAACUUCUUGCUCCAUCGCCUGCUAAUGAAUCCUCCCGCCUAGCUUCUUCUUCCCCAAGGCCACAAUGAGAUUCAGCAUCGCUGCUACAUGAUUCUGCCUGUUGACUAAAGCCAUCUAGCAUACAAGGUCGCAUGUUACUCCCAUCAUAACUAGUGGCGCUACAACUACCAACUGAGCACGCAUCGCUAUCGUAACAAUCAUCAGCGACUAAGCUCUCACUAAGACCUUUUGAUCUUACCCUGACCGUUUGACAGCAACCAGUUUGGGGAUUCUUGGAGGAACCUUCCAGUGAUCGUAUCUUCUUGGUCUUUCCUGUGUAUGAUUCAGCACACUCAGACCAGUUGUGAGGUAACAGCCUCUUUAAUACUCUAGGAGAGACAACACUAGGCUCGCGGAGAAGUAUGCCUUUCAUUUGAGGCUGCAGCUUCCGAUGUAGGUCUGGUCCAGUGAGUGUGGAUGACUUCGCAGAACCUGAU
rnacentral:lncRNA from 1 species